GAACGCUGGCGGCAGGCUUAACACAUGCAAGUCGAGCGGGGUGAUGUAGCUUGCUACAUUACCUAGCGGCGGACGGGUGAGUAAUGCUUAGGAAUCUGCCUAUUAGUGGGGGACAACAUUCCGAAAGGAAUGCUAAUACCGCAUACGCCCUACGGGGGAAAGCAGGGGAUCUUCGGACCUUGCGCUAAUAGAUGAGCCUAAGUCAGAUUAGCUAGUUGGUGGGGUAAAGGCCUACCAAGGCGACGAUCUGUAGCGGGUCUGAGAGGAUGAUCCGCCACACUGGGACUGAGACACGGCCCAGACUCCUACGGGAGGCAGCAGUGGGGAAUAUUGGACAAUGGGCGAAAGCCUGAUCCAGCCAUGCCGCGUGUGUGAAGAAGGCCUUUUGGUUGUAAAGCACUUUAAGCGAGGAGGAGGCUACUUAGAUUAAUACUCUAGGAUAGUGGACGUUACUCGCAGAAUAAGCACCGGCUAACUCUGUG
rnacentral:rRNA from 1 species